rnacentral:lncRNA from 1 species
GAUUCAAUGCCCCCGGGUUACUCUAAUGACCUUAUGUGUGGUAUAAGAUGCUAUAGGAAAGGUACUGGGCUGGGGACACGACCGGCCCGUAGGGCCGUGCGCGAGUGGGACCCGCUUGCCGGGCCCUGUGCCACGGCCCGACCUGGCACACGUUUGUGGCGGUGCUGGCGAGCGCUGUUAGAAAUUAGAUAUACAGGUAUAUGUGUAAGCCGUAUGUCGCACUGGUAGAGCGGCAUUUGGUCUGGCCUCAGGAGUUGUUUGCGCAAUUCUCGCGCGGCCGGCCCGGUCGCGAGCCGCUAAGGCUCCGUCUAAAAGUCGCCACUUUCCUGGCGUCGGUUCGUCCAUUUGCCUAUUAGCACAUAGGUCGCCCCAAAUGACCGCAAACAAGCUGCCUUGAAGUGGCGGUAGCCCGAAUCCUAACGAAAUGCGGACCCGGCAAACAUGUCGACAUGCCCACCCACGCGCCAGGUAUGGCCCCCGUGCACGGCCAGGGAGCUCCGAGCAAGCCUCUAUGGACACACGUCCGAAAGAAUCAGGGCUGGGCAUUUUUGCAGCAGCCGCGCGGACGCUGGGCCCCUCCGUGGGCCCGGCGCCGUGUGGGGUGGCCGGGCGCCCGGACACCGUGUGGCCCGGCCGUGUGGAUUCCUGGCGGCCCGAGCGCCGUUAUAGCAUGGCAUCUAGGCUGGCUCAGUACUGAGAGCCGGGCAGGCACAGCGCAAAGGCUCCAGGGCACGGAAGCGGCCCGUACCGCACCGGACGAGCCGCCCGCCGUCAAGGCCCCCCACACGAAGCACGCAUACCUGCACACGCGCCUUGUCCACUCCGCCCCUCCACGCAUCCCCACAUUGCCUGCCAGGCUCUGGGUACUACCUGAAGUGGGACGGCGCCCCUUCAACCAGUCCCCCGCCCGGGCCGCGACUGGGGAUGCACUGCGCUUGCGCUGUGGGCGGCGGUGGGCGACGAACGGCAUGGGUGGGUGCGUGCCGGCGACUGCUGGCUGCCCACAGCCGCCUGCAUCGCUAUGCGCGGGCUCUGUGCCAGCCUGCCACGCCAUGGCGGCAUGCACGGUCAGCCCGGGCAGCCCCUGCCGGCUCAGCGCGCAAGCGCGUGGCCUUGCACGCACCCCCGGGCUGGGUGCCGCCUGGGCGACGUCCAUGUGCGGGCUGCUUUGCCACGUUGUGAUGCUGGCAGCUACUAUGCAUGUAUCCAGAGGUGUCUGGGGGGCGGGGGUGGGAGUGGUAUGCACCAGAGGGGCAUGGCGGCCCAGGAAGCGCACGCAGGACAGUGCCCGGGCCCUGUGCCACGGCCCGACCUGGCACACGUUUGUGGCGGUGCUGGCGAGCGCUGUUAGAAAUUAGAUAUACAGGUAUAUGUGUAAGCCGUAU